rnacentral:rRNA from 1 species
AUUGAACGCUGGCGGCAGGCCUAACACAUGCAAGUCGAGCGAGCGGCGGACGGGUGAGUAAUGUAUGGGGACUGCCCGAUCGAGGGGGAUAACUACUGGAAACGGUGGCUAAUACCGCAUACUAUCGGAUAACCCAUAGGGGAUUAGCUAGUAGGUGGGGUAACGGCUCACCUAGGCGACGAUCGCUAGCGGGUCUGCGAGGAUGAUCAGCCACACGGGGACUGAGACACGGCGCAGACUCCUACGGAGGCAGCAGUGGGGAAUAUUGCACAAUGGGCGCAAGCCUGAUGGAGCCAUGCCGCGUGUAUGAAGAAGGCCUUAGGGUUGUAAAGUACUUUCAGCAGAGAGGCGUUACCCGCAGAAGAAGCGCCGGCUAACUCCGUGCCAGCAGCCGCGGUAAUAC